GGUAGGGUCAGCGACUGGGGUGAAGUCGUAACAAGGUAGCCGUAGGGGAACCUGCGGCUGGAUCACCUCCUUUCUAAGGAUGAUCCUUCAGCGAGCUCACGCUCACUAUCGGAUCGUUUUAGAAACAUCAGUGGCCAACAGAUCGCCAGAUCGUUGAGCUGCAUUGGCGGGAUUUCGCCGUCUUCGUUUCUCUUUCUUCGCGGACGAACACGCGCUGGGCCUGCAUCAAGCAGGAUCCCACGGUCCCUGACGGGAUAUGCGUUAGGGGCUUGUAGCUCAGUUGGUUAGAGCGCGCGCUUGAUAAGCGUGAGGUCGGAAGUUCAAGUCUUCCCAGGCCCACCACUUUCAUCGAGUGAGCAUUCGUCUUCUGGUUACGGGGCCAUAGCUCAGCUGGGAGAGCGCGUGCUUUGCAAGCAUGAGGUCGUCGGUUCGAUCCCGUCUGGCUCCACCAGAUGGUUUGAUCACCGAGAUCUUGCACCGUCGUCCGCGAAACAUCACUUCGCAUCCUGCUAGUCUGGAUAGACAGCAAGAUGCGUGUUUUCUGACAUCGUAAAGAGGAGAUCGAUCCGAGUUGGGUCGCGCAGCAGAUUGUUGCGCGAACCUUCAUUAUCUCCGGAUCAUUUUCGGCGCUCGCUUUCAGCCGUGAGGUUGAAUGCGAGUUGUAAAAUGAUCCUUUUAGCGAAGCUUGACCGCCUCGCUAUCGGAACGAUCUUACGAAGCAAGCUGGUCUUUCUAGUCAAUGUCCGGCUGCACGUAGCAUUCAUCGAGGGUGCGCGCCGUAAGGCAAUCGUGCAGACAACAUUCUGCCGAGUGUGUGGACAUUGAUAAUGAGAGCAAUCAAGUGCCUUAAGGGUGUUCGGUGGAUGCCUUGGCGCUGAGAGGCGAUGAAGGACGUGCUACGCUGCGAUAAGCCGUGGGGAGCUGCGAAGAAGCUUUGAUCCGCGGAUUUCCGAAUGGGGAAACCCACCUUCGAUAGCCGGAACUCCAAGACCUUGUGUUUUGGUGUUCGACCAGAAAUGAUCGGGACCAUGACCCUAGAGGUUUUGGAUUUCCGGUUAUCAAGAGAAGGUAUGAGACUUCUGAAUACAUAGGAGGUUUCAAGCAAACCCAGGGAACUGAAACAUCUAA
rnacentral:misc_RNA from 1 species